ACUCCUACGGGAGGCAGCAGUGGGGAAUCUUGCGCAAUGGGCGAAAGCCUGACGCAGCCAUGCCGCGUGAAUGAUGAAGGUCUUAGGAUUGUAAAAUUCUUUCACCGGGGACGAUAAUGACGGUACCCGGAGAAGAAGCCCCGGCUAACUUCGUGCCAGCAGCCGCGGUAAUACGAAGGGGGCUAGCGUUGCUCGGAAUUACUGGGGCGUAAAGGGAGCGUAGGCGGACAUUUAAGUCAGGGGUGAAAUCCCGGGGGCUCAACCUCGGAAUUGCCUUUUGAUACUGGAUGUCUUGAGUGUGAGAGAGGUAUGUGGAACUCCGAGUGUAGAGGUGAAAUUCGUAGAUAUUCGGAAGAACACCAGUGGCGAAGGCGACAUACUGGCUCAUUACUGACGCUGAGGCUCGAAAGCGUGGGGGAGCAAACAGGAUUAGAUACCCUGGUAGGAUAGCG
rnacentral:rRNA from 1 species